AUUUCAACUCAUACGUUUUGAAUUACACAAGUUAUUGAAGUGUAUAUUUUGGUUUGGAGUUGGCCCUUUAGACUUUGGAGGUAGCGUCGCUCCACAACUUCCUACUUUCUACAGGCAUGGGUUGUGCAAUACAAACUUUCCACUAUGUUCGCUCCACACAGGACCAAUGUCUAGGUUCCAGAUGCCAACAUUGAAACAGAUGGGGAGAGAAGGUGUAAUAAAUGUAUCAAGAAAUGGUAUAAUACAUACAAUAUUAGCUAGCCUGCUUAGUAGGUGUUUGCCGCAGCAGCCUGCUACAUAGACUAUGGGCUAUCAAAGGUGACAGGUUCAAUUCCAACCAUGGUCAAACAAACCUUUCAGCUUGCCUGAUAUAGACACACUCAGAGUAACACCAUCUUAAAUAAUUUCACCUCUGUACAAACACCACAAUUAUUACAUUCAUGAGCCUACAUUGUUGUCUUUUCAGUACCAUACUGGGUUAGUCACAUAUUUUUCCCUCAUAGACAAUCAGCCGACAUUUCAAGACAAUUCCUGCGCCAGAAAAAGAAACUAUCUCACUCUUCAUUCACAUGGCAAAAACAAGGAAAAGUAAACUUGAUCAAAAAGCAGAUAAUAUUUAAAAUAUCUCGUGUUUCAUACAAUUGUAUAUAAAUUAUUUUAAUAACAUAUAUUAAAGUUAAGAUUUUAGUUCUAGUCUGGGCUGUUUGUAUAAAGAGUGAUAUAAACACUGUAAACCACUGAAUAUAAGCCCCCUUCCCUGAAUAUAAGCCCCACCAUGUAUAAGCCAACCAUAUUCAAAGGUUGUUGACAUAUAAGCCCCCCCAUUUUACAAAC
rnacentral:lncRNA from 1 species